AUACUAAUAGGUUGAAAUAUGCACAUGUACAAUGUCUUUAGCUUGGCUUCUGAUGAGUUUAAAGUACAAGCCAAGUGCAACAAUCUUUCUCUAGGAUCAAGUUAAGUUAAUUUAAUGUACACAUAUGCAUGCCUAGACACAUUAAUUAAGACAUUUUUAAAAUUAUUUGCAGACCCAGAAUAAAAGUGUCUCAACAAGCACUGAAGAUCUUAUCCAGUUUCCAGAGAAGCAAGGGUGACACACGACGGAAUGUUUGCUUCUGAAUUGUUGUAUCAGUAUUUUGCCUACAUGGCCUCCAAAUUGACAGAGCCAGACAGGAGGCAGCUCAACUUUGAGUUACAUGAGCACAUAAAAAACUUUGUCAACCAAAGACCUUCAACUUAAAGACAAUUACUUUUGAUCCAGUGCGAGCAAAGGAAAACAAGAAGCGUCAGUUUGCUGUCAUGCCACAUCUCUAAAGUGUGUUCAAUUGUUCAUAAUUCUUAAGGUUUCUCUUGAUGCUAAAAAAAUUGACUUUGCAAUCUCCUUGUGACUCCUAACGCCAUCAGAGCUUACAGUCAAAGUAUGACGUGUCCAUGUCAUUGUCUGGGUGUGGAAUAAAAGCAGGCUCUUUCCAGCCUAAUCCCAAUCCAAGUUCGAGAAAAAGGCAUUGCUUUAACUUCUGAGAAAAAUUUAACAAAACAUGGUGUUGCUAGCUUAUAGAUAAAACAGUAAAAAUAAAAUGCACAGAGAGAGUGA